UCAAAAUCUUGAUUUAAGACACGAAAAUACAUGCCGGUUUUUAAAAGUUGGUCUUUGGUUUGGGAUAUUUGUGUUUAUCAAGAUUCAUUUGCUGCGGUGUCUCUGUUGCUAAGUAUUUCUCUCUUUGCUGUGAUGCUCAUUGGAAAUCUCAGUCAAAACGAGGAUCUUUGCUCAAGGUCAAGCGGAGAAGGAAUCAGAAGUCAACGGCACAAGUAGAAAAUGCUCUGCAGGAUGCUCAUCCUGGUGGUGUUGCUAAUAUAGAUAAGCGUGCCAACUGUGGGAAGCUGGUUGCAGAUGAAAUCAGCCAGGAUAUUGCUAAAUUUUUGGUCAAUAUGAAGAAGCUUUUUGAAGAAUACUCAGAUGCGUGUAAAAAUCUGAAAGCUGCAAAACUUCGAGCUAAGCAACUUGAACAGAUGAAGAUGGAGAACCAAAGAAAGGGCCUAUGGUUGGUGGAGAGACCACUUGAUGAACUCAACCCUGAGGAGUUGCUGGCACUGGAUGCAGAGACAGCGGAGUUUAUUGAGAAGCUGAAAAAGCAUCGUCAGGAACUUUUGGCCAAGGGUGCCUCUUCAACUUCCAUGUCAGCAGGAGGAAGUAAUGCUUCCCCGAAUUGAUCUACCAAUGGUGGUUCUUCUGUGGAUCUUCAGUAACGUUAUUUUCCGAACAUUAUUGAAAAUCAAGAAUAAUAAUAAAAAAAAUAAUAAAAAUAAUAAAGUAGUUUUUCCCAUGUCUACCA